rnacentral:rRNA from 1 species
CGCUAGCUACAGGCUUAACACAUGCAAGUCGAGGGGCAGCACAGUGUAGCAAUACACGGGUGGCGACCGGCGCACGGGUGCGUAACGCGUAUCCAACCUUCCCGUUACUCUUGGAUAGCCUUCCGAAAGGGAGAUUAAUACCUGAUGGUGUUUGAAUUCCGCAUGUUAUUCAAACUAAAGAUUUAUCGGUAACGGAUGGGGAUGCGUGACAUUAGGUAGAUGGCGGGGUAACGGCCCACCAUGCCUACGAUGUCUAGGGGUUCUGAGAGGAAGGUCCCCCACACUGGAACUGAGACACGGUCCAGACUCCUACGGGAGGCAGCAGCGAGGAAUAUUGGUCAAUGGUCGGAAGACUGAACCAGCCAAGUAGCGUGAAGGAUGAAGGUUCUAUGGAUUGUAAACUUCUUUUAUACGGGAAUAAAACCUCCCACGUGUGGGAGCUUGUAUGUACCGUAUGAAUAAGCAUCGGCUAACUCCGUGCCAGCAGCCGCAGUAAUACGGAGGAUGCGAGCGUUAUCCGGAUUUAUUGGGUUUAAAGGGAGCGUAGACGGGAGAUUAAGUCAGUUGUGAAAGGCUGCGGCUCAACCGCAGCACUGCAGUUGAUACUGGUUUCCUUGAGUGCGGUUGAGGUGUAAGGAAUUCGUGGUGUAGCGGUGAAAUGCUUAGAUAUCUCAAAGGACUCCGAUUG